rnacentral:rRNA from 1 species
CCAGAGAACUUUCCAGAGAUGGAUUGGUGCCUUCGGGAACUCUGAGACAGGUGCUGCAUGGCUGUCGUCAGCUCGUGUUGUGAAAUGUUGGGUUAAGUCCCGCAACGAGCGCAACCCUUAUCCUUUGUUGCCAGCGGUUAGGCCGGGAACUCAAAGGAGACUGCCAGUGAUAAACUGGAGGAAGGUGGGGAUGACGUCAAGUCAUCAUGGCCCUUACGAGUAGGGCUACACACGUGCUACAAUGGCGCAUACAAAGAGAAGCGACCUCGCGAGAGCAAGCGGACCUCAUAAAGUGCGUCGUAGUCCGGAUUGGAGUCUGCAACUCGACUCCAUGAAGUCGGAAUCGCUAGUAAUCGUGGAUCAGAAUGCCACGGUGAAUACGUUCCCGGGCCUUGUACACACCACCCGUCACACCAUGGGAGUGGGUUGCAAAAGAAGUAGGUAGCUUAACCUUCGGGAGGGCGCUUACCACUUUGUGAUUCAUGACUGGGGUGAAGUCGUAACAAGGUAGGCGUAGUGCU